UAACAGAUGCGAGACCAUGGUGAGG
rnacentral:sRNA from 1 species